GUAUUGAAACUGUUUGUUUAUGAAGAGUUGCGAAACAUUGAAACAUCCUUUGGGAAUUUUACAUUUUCACAACACCAAUCGUAACAACAACCAAGAAGUCGUAAUAAUGGCUGAUUACAUAUUGCAGCUGUUACUUUUCCACUUUCCACUUUUCAUUUUGGUGACGAAAAUUUAGCGUAGCGGUUGACCGAACUCCACUACUGGUCCGACCAGCAUCAAUUCUAAUAGCCAACGGUCAUUGUGCCAUUUGAAGCCGCAAUCAAAAUUUGAAAGCGGCAAUUCGAUUUUUUUUUUUUUUUUUUUUUUUUUAAUUCAUAUUUCUAUCUCUCAAUUGUGUCUAAUAUCAACGGUAUUUUUUCUGCUUUGCAAUUUUUAGAAAACAAUCAUUCUUUUAAUAAUUAAUUUUUCAACAUUUUUUCAAGCUAUUUUUGUGAGAGUAAAAAAAAAAAUAACAGUUAUCUGUUGGGCUCUCAUUUUCACUUAACUUUGACGUUGUAACUCCUUUUCCGCUCAUAUAACUCGUCGGCAGCACCAAUAAAUUUCCCGAAUCUGAGCAAACGGGCCGAACAUUCGGUCGGAUACUGCCAGUAAAUUUAAAAUAAUAAGUUAAUUCUACCGGGUUCAAUAUAAUUUCCGAACUACUAGUUUUAGAGGCUUUGGGAAUUUUACCGAAGCAAAUUGGAAGUCUUACAUAAUGCCACUGCAACCUCCUUAAGGUUGAUUAAUGGAAGUGUUUGCUAGUUUGCUAGAAGUGAUGCUGUGCAACAAAAAAAAAAAAGUUCUAACUGCAAACAUAAUUUUUAUUUUAUAUCUUUUCAAAUGUUAUUAAUAGCUACACUCAAAAAUGAAUAGUGUGAAUGCAAUUUUGACAUCUUUUACUCGGUUUUAGCUACAUAGAACGCAUGCGAAGUUUUUUUUUUCUUUUUUGUUUGUUUGUUUUUGCUUCCGUCUCGGUCUUUGGCUAACAAAAAAUCGGCUCUUUGUGGUUUUCCUUGCUAUAUAGAUAGUCAGGCGUUUGAAAUGAAUAACUUUGACAAACUUCCUAAACUUAACAAAACCCCCUUAUGAUCCGCAGAUGUACUUCAUCCGAUUUUCGAUGUUGCAUGCAGCUUGAAUAGUUUCCGUGACGUCACUGCUACCAAAUCUAGUCCCUUUACGGGCAGCGAUGCCCUGCCGACUUGUCCACACUGCGGCAAAGUCUACUCGCACGUUUCCACCAUGCAGCGUCAUUUAAAAAGCGGCUGUGCUUCUGGCAAAGUGAAGCGGUAUUUGUGUGGGAUGUGUAGCAACAAAUAUGCCCGCAGUGAUACUUUAUCGCGUCACAUGCGCACGGUUCAUGCCAAAUGUGUACAAAAGGGGGGCCAAGGGAGCAUCUAAGUCUAAGGAGCCACUGAGGUUUGCAUCGUGAGAAUACGUAGUUUUUUUUUGUGGAGCGAUUUGAAUUGUGUUGAAUGAGUUCGAAAAUCCAAUAAUUGAUUCCGUUAACUCUUGUCAUUGUAAUAAAUAAAAUAAAAGUUGUAAAACAAGUCGUGUCGUAUGCUCCGUUUUAUGGCAUUCGAUUGUUAGUCAAGUCAAGCCCAUUACUUUAGUACUUUUUUGAUUUCGUAAUUUCCACUUUAUUUAACGGGUCAAUUUCGGAUAGCAACCGAACUUCAGUUACGUUGCUAUUUUCCUGAAAUGGUAUUACAAAUUGCAACUAGCAGCCGUCAUCUGGAAACGUUAGUUGGUAGUGUAACGGCAACUGCAUGUUCGUGCAUGCCGAGGAAAUUUUGAUUGAGAAAAUUAUUUAUUUUUUUUCAACGGUUUCUUCAGUUUUUGCUUACACUGAAGUUUUGAUUGCUGGUUUCCAAAAUUCAUAUUUUUAUGUCAGUGGCGUUGUCGGUCGGCAACUCAACUGAUGUUGUUGCGUUGCUAUCCAUAAUCAACCCAUAAUAAAAAUGAAUUCUUUCUUUGGCGUACGAAAUAUCGGCUCUUUCUGGUUUCCCUGCUAUGUAAAGUAUUUAAAAAUGAAUUUUAUUGCUUUCACAUAUCAAAAAUAGAUCCGUUUGCUUCACGUCCCGCUGGCUCUGUUCCAUGCGUUUUUCCUAGUCGUUUCACGACAGCUGGUAAAAUAUUGAGGUAACGACUUAUAAGAAUUACAUAUGUACAUACAUAUAUGUACAUAGAGAACAAUUUCAGUGCGUCUGCGGGUAAUCAAGGCUUGACGGUCUCGGUCUGCCCUCACUGCGGAAAACUUUACUCCCGAGUAUCCACCAUGCAACGACAUUUGGAAAGUGCGUGUGGGACUGGCCAAGCGAAGCGUUUUUCCUGUAGGAUUUGUUCGCAUAGAUACGCCCGGAAGGAUAUUUUGUCCAGACAUUUGCGUACCGUCCAUGCCAGAGACAAGGCUUAAUUACAAUUUUUGGCCC
rnacentral:lncRNA from 1 species